rnacentral:rRNA from 1 species
CCUACGGGGGGCAGCAGUAGGGAAUAUUGCUCAAUGGGGGAAACCCUGAAGCAGCAACGCCGCGUGGAGGAUGAAGGUUUUCGGAUUGUAAACUCCUUUUGUUAGAGAAGAUAAUGACGGUAUCUAACGAAUAAGCACCGGCUAACUCCGUGCCAGCAGCCGCGGUAAUACGGAGGGUGCAAGCGUUACUCGGAAUCACUGGGCGGAAAGAGCGCGUAGGCGGGAUAGCAAGUCAGAUGUGAAAUCCUAUGGCUUAACCAAAGAACUGCAUUCGAAACUGUUAUUCUAGAGUAUGGGAGAGGUAGGUGGAAUUCUUGGUGUAGGGGUAAAAUCCGUAGAGAUCAAGAGGAAUACUCAUUGCGAAGGCGACCUGCUAGAACAUAACUGACGCUGAUGCGCGAAAGCGUGGGGAGCAAACAGGAUUAGAUACCCUUGUAGUC